GACCGUGCGAAGGUAGCAUAAUCAUUAGUUUUUUAAUUGAAGGCUAGAAUGAAUGGUUGGACAAGAGAUAAUCUGUCUUAAAUUAAUAUAUUGAAUUUAACUUUUAAGUGAAAAGGCUUAAAUAAUCUGAAGGGACGAUAAGACCCUAUAAAACUUUAUAUUGAAAAGUGAUAGGUAUAUUUUGUUUAAAGAAUUAUUACUUUAAAGUAUUUGGUUGGGGUGACAAGAAUAGAAGAGAAAGUAAUUGUUUUUUUUUUAUACAAUAAUGUUUGGGUUAGUGAUCCUAAAAUGGAUUAAAGAUUAAGUUACUUUAGGGAUAACAGCGUAAUUUUCUUUGAGAGUUCUUAUCGAUAAGAAAGUUUGCGACCUCGAUGUUGAAUUAAAGGUUCUUUAUGGAGUAGAGUCUAUAAAAGAAGGUCUGUUCGACCUUUAAAACUUUACAUGAUUUGAGUUCAGACCGGUGUGAGCCAGGUUGGUUUCUAUC
rnacentral:rRNA from 1 species